AGGUUGUAGUGUGUGAGUGAGGGUGGCAGUGUAUGUCAGGGAUGCAGUGUAUGUGUGGGACAGUAUGUGUGUGUAACAGUUGCAGUGUGUGUAUGGGGGGCAGUGUGUGUGUAUGGGGGGGCAGUAUGUGUGUAUGGGGGGCAGUAUGUGUGUAUGAGGGGCAGUGCGUGUGUAUGAGGGGCAGUGCGUGUGUAUGAGGGGCAGUUUGUG